rnacentral:rRNA from 1 species
UAUGGCUCAGGACGAACGCUGGCGGCGUGCCUAACACAUGCAAGUCGAGCGAGGAGAUCCUCGGGAUGAUCCUAGCGGCGGACGGGUGAGUAACACGUGGGCAACCUGCCUCAUAGAGAGGAAUAGCCUUCCGAAAGGGAGAUUAAUACCUCAUAACAUUGCAGUUUCGCAUGAAACAGCAAUUAAAGGAGCAAUCCGCUAUGAGAUGGGCCCGCGGCGCAUUAGCUAGUUGGUGAGGUAACGGCUCACCAAGGCGACGAUGCGUAGCCGACCUGAGAGGGUGAUCGGCCACAUUGGGACUGAGACACGGCCCAGACUCCUACGGGAGGCAGCAGUGGGGAAUAUUGCACAAUGGGGGAAACCCUGAUGCAGCCAACGCCGCGUGAGUGAUGACGGCCUUCGGGUUGUAAAGCUCUGUCUUCAGGGACGAUAAUGACGGUACCUGAGGAGGAAGCCACGGCUAACUACGUGCCAGCAGCUGC